rnacentral:siRNA from 1 species
GUGUGUGAAACAUUGUGCACAUA